rnacentral:rRNA from 1 species
CCUACGGGUGGCAGCAGUGAGGAAUAUUGGUCAAUGGGCGGGAGCCUGAACCAGCCAAGUCGCGUGAGGGAAGACGGUCCUAUGGAUUGUAAACCUCUUUAGGCGGGGAGCAAUGCCGGGCACGCGUGCCCGGAGGGAGAGUACCCGCAGAAUAAGCAUCGGCUAACUCCGUGCCAGCGGCCGCGGUAAUACGGAGGAUGCGAGCGUUAGACGGAUUUAGUGGGUUUAAAGGCUGCGUAGGCGGAUUUUAAAGUCAGCGGUAAAAUGUCCGGGCUCAACCCGGGCCGGCCGUUGAAACUGGGGAUCUUGAGUGGGCGAGAGGUAUGCGGAAUGCGUGGUGUAGCGGUGAAAUGCAUAGAUAUCACGCAGAACACCGGUUGCGAAGGCAGCAUACCGGCGCCCGACUGACGCUGAGGCACGAAAGCGUGGGGAUCGAACAGGAUUAGAUACCAUAGUAGUC